rnacentral:rRNA from 1 species
UACGUAGGUGACCAGCGUUGUCCGGAUUUACUGGGCGUAAAGAGCGCGCAGGCGGUCGUUCAAGUCGAGUGUGAAAGCCCCCGGCUCCAACUGGGGAGGGUCAUUCGAUACUGAUCGACUGGAAGGCAGGAGAGGGAAGCGGAAUUCCCGGUGUAGCGGUGAAAUGCGCAGAUAUCGGGAAGAACACCCGUGGCGAAGGCGGCUCUCUGGGACGGUACUGACGCUGAGACGCGAAAGCGUGGGGAGCAAACAGG